CAGCAGCCGCGGGAAUACGUAGGUGGCAAGCGUUGUCCGGAAUUAUAGGGCGUAAAGGGCUCGCAGGCGGUUUCUUAAGUCUGAUGUGAGAGCCCCCGGCUCAACCGGGGAGGGUCAUUGGAAACUGGGAAACUUGAGUGCAGAAGAGGAGAGUGGAAUUCCACGUGUAGCGGUGAAAUGCGUAGAGAUGUGGAGGAACACCAGUGGCGAAGGCGACUCUCUGGUCUGUAACUGACGCUGAGGAGCGAAAGCGUGGGGAGCGAACAGGAUUAGAUACCCGGGUAGUCCCUGUCUCUUAUAC
rnacentral:rRNA from 1 species